rnacentral:rRNA from 1 species
UGGGGAAUCUUGGACAAUGGGGGCAACCCUGAUCCAGCAAUGCCGCGUGGGUGAAGAAGGCCUUCGGGUUGUAAAGCCCUUUCGGCAGGGAAGAAAUCGGCGGGGCGAAUAACCCUGCUGGAUGACGGUACCUGCAGAAGAAGCACCGGCUAACUACGUGCCAGCAGCCGCGGUAAUACGUAGGGUGCGAGCGUUAAUCGGAUUUACUGGGCGUAAAGCGUGCGCAGGCGGCCCGUUAAGACAGGUGUGAAAUCCCUGGGCUCAACCUAGGAAUUGCGCUUGUGACUGGCGGGCUCGAGUACGGUAGAGGGGGGUGGAAUUCCUGGUGUAGCAGUGAAAUGCGUAGAGAUCAGGAGGAACACCGAUGGCGAAGGCAGCCCCCUGGGCCUGUACUGACGCUCAUGCGCGAAAGCGUGGGGAGCAAAACAGGAUUAGAUACCCUGGUAGUCCACGCCCUAAAACGAUGGGUACUAGCCGUUUGGUGCGCGAUAGCGCUGAGUGGCGAAGCUAACGCGUGAAGUACCCCGCCUGGGGAGUACGGCCGCAAGGUUGAAACUCAAAUGAAUUGACGGGGUCAUAGCUGUUUCC